ACCGAAACUGUUGCGCGUAGAAAAGACGUGAAGCUCUCGUGUGAAGUUGGGAAUUCACUUCGACGACUCCGCUGCGCGAUGGUGACCAUCCACUACGGCGUGCAUCGUGAAUGCGACGAUAGAAUGUCCGAUCCGAGUUCCAAGUUCGGCCGCCACUUGCGCGGGGGAUCAGGCUUGCGUCGCGGCUUGUCUUUCGCAAG
rnacentral:misc_RNA from 1 species